rnacentral:lncRNA from 1 species
GGGGGUCCUUGAAUUAAUUAAGAUUGUUCAUAAAUACAAGUUUCUUCUUCAUUUUUGUUGAUAAUUUAAAUUAAUUUCCCAGGUUUGGGUACUUAGGGUUGUGCGCUCACAUUUAUGUUGAAUUCGUUACACAUUUUAAAUUAGAAGCCUGUAAUGAUUGCUUUUCAAGUAUUGUUCAGUCAAAAUUCAGACCAUUGUUUUUUG